ACUCGGUAGCAGUAGGACGUGCACUCGUACCGCUCUGCCGACGGUGAUCUCCACCCCCACUCGCACACACUGGCUCAUAGACAUACAAACACACACACACACGCCUGCCGAAAUCCUCCACUUAUCGACUCAAGAGAGAGGAUAAGAUAUAGCACGUUUUAAUCCCUCGACGAAACCUGAUUAACGAGUUUUCUUUUACUAGUUUCGUAAUUAAUGACAUUUUUCUCCAAGUUUGGUGUCAGCGGAAAUUCGUUUUGUGCCAUGAAGAUUCGCAAGUUACCGAGGCCAGCGAGACGUAUUUCUCUCGCAAGAAGGACAUAAUCUAUCGGGAAAGUUAAGUUUAUUGAAGUUAUUGAAGUUAAUGAGACUUAACUUCUCAAAAUAAGGAGAACUAUUUUCCCUCGAGACUUGAAACAUUUUUAUGACUGACUACAGCCAAUGGGACACAAUAAACCUCACACAAGAAAGACUUAACAUCCCAAGAAAGGUUAUAAGUUAUCCUUAACAUCAUUAUCAUUAAUCUUAAACUGUGCUGAACGAGAAAGAUGGAAGGCGUCGGUGUGCCAUUCGAGGUGUUAUGGUGCCAGUGUCAGGGGAAUGCCAGUGCCACGCCCCACCAGGUCCUUAUCCACGAACAGAUGACAAAGAUGCAUUCGGACGCCCAACAACACGCCCUCUGGUACGUGGGCGUGGUCCUUACCCUCUAUCUCCUGGGUCUAGUGAUCAUCAUCAGGAGAUCAGGGCGGACCGAGCGACACACGGCAGUCUCCGCUCUCUCCUUCUGCUUCUCCCGGGUGGUCUCCUCCAUCGCACGACGCAGCACCAGAAGGAGAAGAGAGAGGCAGCAGAGGGAGAGAGUCAUGAGCCCUCCUUCAGAGCCUCACCGUCAGCAGGCAGCAGGGCCGUCUCUUCAGCUCCAUCUGGUGGCCGCUAAGGAAGAGAUGGUGAUGGAUGAGUCUUGCCUCACUACGGUAGCUUAGCAUCAGGUGAGCUCCGGCCCCAGGAGACUCUUGACCCCGACUCUACCCACACAUUUUGAGGUUCCUGAAGGGGAGUAGGAGGCCAGGAGUACCUUAAUGUCCACUCUAAACUGUCUCCAAUGGCCGAUAAGUCCAGUCACCCAGUUAAUACCCGUGAGUGAGUGACAGAUCCUAAGUCCUCCCAGUUAAAGACAAGAUCAUAUUCCAUUAUAUAUCUGAUUAAUUUUUAACUGGAGAUAAAAGACCGACUUAAUGUGUUAAUUUAAUCAUACAACUCCGUAAAUCCGUCAAAAAAUAAGACAUUAUGAGACAGAACGAUAUGAAACAGAAGGUGAAUCUUUAUAUAUACAGUAUAUAUAUAUCUGUCCAACUUGGUUUCUGUCCAUUAUAUUACUGAAGACAAAUUUUCCUUUUCACCCCAACACGACGGCGGACAGUUUUGAAUACGAUGUGUUUUGCCGACUAAUGAGAACUUGAAUGAAAAGAAAAGUUGAAGUGUUUUGUUGAAAGGAAAAGAUUGUCUUCAACUUGCGGGCUUGUGAAAGGCGAACGGUAGCCUUGGAAAUCUUGUGGGCUUGUGAAGGGAGACGUGUGUCUUGUCUUGGUGAACUUAAGGACAUGGUGAACGGAGUAACUGGUGAAAGGAGAGACUAAUGAAUGCAGUGACUAGUGAACACAGCAACCAGUGAAUGCAGCGACUACCCAACGCAGCGACUGGAAACCGCAGCGACUAGUGAACGCAGCAACUAGCCAAUGCAGCGAUUGGUGAACGCAGCGACUGGUGAAGGCACCAACCAGUGAAGGCAGCGACUAGCCAAUGCAGCGACUAGCCAAUGCAGCGAUUGGUGAACGCAGCGACUGGUGAAUGCAGCGACUAGUGGGGAAAUAUUAUCACCAGAACGACUGAAUGUUUACAUUAAAGUACUUUCCAUUAUCACUGUAUACCAAAAACCCUUAAAUGUGAUGCUCCAUCUGUCUAUGUAUAUCUUUAUUAAUAAAACACCAAAAGUUGUA
rnacentral:misc_RNA from 1 species